rnacentral:rRNA from 1 species
UACGUAGGGGGCUAGCGUUGUCCGGAAUCAUUGGGCGUAAAGCGCGCGUAGGCGGCCCGGUAAGUCCGCUGUAAAAGUCAAAGGCUCAACCUUUGAAUGUCAGUGGAUACUGCCGGGCUAGAGUCCGGAAGAGGCGAAUGGAACUCCUGGUGUAGCGGUGGAAUGCGCAGAUAUCAGGAAGAACACCGACGGCGAAGGCAGCUCGCUGGGACGGUACUGACGCUGAGGCGCGAAAGCGUGGGGAGCGAACAGG